UACAGAGGGUGCAAGCGUUGUUCGGAAUUAUUGGGCGUAAAGCGCGUGUAGGCGGCUUUGCAAGUCGGGUGUGAAAGCCCUCGGCUCAACCGAGGAAGUGCGCCCGAAGCUGCAGAGCUUGAGUACCGGAGAGGAUGGCGGAAUUCCCCAAGUAGAGGUGAAAUUCGUAGAUAUGGGGAGGAACACCGGUGGCGAAGGCGGCCAUCUGGACGGAUACUGACGCUGAGACGCGAAAGCGUGGGGAGCAAACAGG
rnacentral:rRNA from 1 species